UGUUCUGUUCUUAUUCUUUUCUAUUCUGUUCUAUUCUAUUCUGUUCUGUUCUGUUCUAUUCUGUUCUAUUCUUUUCUAUUCUGUUCUAUUCUGUUCUGUUCUUAUUCUUUUCUAUUCUGUUCUAUUCUAUUCUGUUCUGUUCUGUUCUAUUCUAUUCUGUUCUGUUCUGUUCUAUUCUAUUCUGUUCUAUUCUGUUCUAUUCUGUUCUAUUCUGGUCUAUUCUGUUCUUAUUCUGUUCUGUUCUAUUCUGAUCU
rnacentral:misc_RNA from 1 species